GGGCGAGUUUUCAGAUUCGAUUGCGGGUAGAGAAUGAGAAAAGCAUACCAAAGGCUCGGCUUUGUAAAAACGGAACUUAAAUUUAAAUGCAGAAUCCAACGAUUCAAAAGUUGUAGCUUUCCCCUCGUUCAGAGCGGCAAGCUGCGCUUGCGCUGCUUAACUAAUUAAGCGGUCCGUCUCCGUCCGUUCGCCGUUGGCGUACGGCAGGCGUUAAUUAAACGGCAACCCUGUGCGCGUUUUACCGCGCGUGCGCUGUGGUAAUUUAGCGGUAUGCGUCCGCCUGUGCCCGUCCGUCGGCACAGCGGCCCAAGUUAAAGGCGGAAUAAGUAUGUAGAAAGCUCAAACAAAAUCCGUAAGACUCGGGUGCAAGUCCCGACUCGUCCACCA
rnacentral:tmRNA from 1 species